AACAGAAAUGAUGAUUGUCUUGAUACCGCCCCAGUCUGACAACUAGUGACUGAUUGGUAUACCCUCUGAU